rnacentral:rRNA from 1 species
AGUGAACGCUGGCGGUAGGCCUAACACAUGCCAGUCGAACGGCAGCACAGUAAGAGCUUGCUCUUACGGGUGGCGAGUGGCGGACGGGUGAGGAAUACAUCGGAAUCUACUUUUUCGUGGGGGAUAACGUAGGGAAACUUACGCUAAUACCGCAUACGACCUACGGGUGAAAGCAGGGGAUCUUCGGACCUUGCGCGAUUGAAUGAGCCGAUGUCGGAUUAGCUAGUUGGCGGGGUGAAGGCCCACCAAGGCGACGAUCCGUAGCUGGUCUGAGAGGAUGAUCAGCCACACUGGAACUGAGACACGGUCCAGACUCCUACGGGAGGCAGCAGUGGGGAAUAUUGGACAAUGGGCGCAAGCCUGAUCCAGCCAUACCGCGUGGGUGAAGAAGGCCUUCGGGUUGUAAAGCCCUUUUGUUGGGAAAGAAAGGCAGCAGGUUAAUACCCCGCUGUUCUGACGGUACCCAAAGAAUAAGCACCGGCUAACUUCGUG